UACGGAGGGGGCUAGCGUUGUUCGGAAUUACUGGGCGUAAAGCGCACGUAGGCGGCUUUGCAAGUUAGAGGUGAAAGCCCGGGGCUCAACUCCGGAAUUGCCUUUAAGACUGCAUCGCUCGAAUUGUGGAGAGGUAAGUGGAAUUCCGAGUGUAGAGGUGAAAUUCGUAGAUAUUCGGAAGAACACCAGUGGCGAAGGCGACUUACUGGACAAAUAUUGACGCUGAGGUGCGAAAGCGUGGGGAGCAAACAGG
rnacentral:rRNA from 1 species